GGACUACCAGGGUUUCUAAUCCUGUUUGCUCCCCACGCUUUCGUGCAUGAGCGUCAGUCACGUCCCAGGGGGCUGCCUUCGCCAUCGGUAUUCCUCCACAUCUCUACGCAUUUCACUGCUACACGUGGAAUUCUACCCCCCUCUGACGCACUCUAGCCUUGCAGUCACAAGCGCAAUUCCCAGGUUAAGCCCGGGGAUUUCACGCCUGUCUUACAAAACCGCCUGCGCACGCUUUACGCCCAGUAAUUCCGAUUAACGCUCGCACCCUACGUAUUACCGCGGCUGCUGGCAC
rnacentral:rRNA from 1 species